rnacentral:rRNA from 1 species
GGGGAAUUUUCCGCAAUGGGCGAAAGCCUGACGGAGCAAUACCGCGUGAGGGAUGACGGCCUAUGGGUUGUAAACCUCUUUUUUCAGGGAGGAAGACAAUGACGUGUACCCUGAAGAAUAAGCAUCGGCUAACUCCGUGCCAGCAGCCGCGGUAAGANCGGAGGAUGCAAGUGUUAUCCGGAAUCACUGGGCGUAAAGCGUCUGUAGGUGGUCAAAUAAGUCAACUGUUAAAUCUCGAGGCUCAACCUCGAAAUCGCAGUCGAAACUAUUCGACUAGAGUAUAGUAGGGGUAAAGGGAAUUUCCAGUGGAGCGGUGAAAUGCGUAGAGAUUGGAAAGAACACCGAUGGCGAAGGCACUUUACUGGGCUAUUACUAACACUCAGAGACGAAAGCUAGGGUAGCAAAUGGGAUUAGAUACCCCAGUAGUC